AAACCAUGCAUCGAGCAUUUGCGCAAUAAAUCUUUAAAUCGCUCCAAAACUUCAUAUAAGUUCUCAUCUUCCAGUUGCGUGAAAGAUGUGAUGUCAUUCAUCAAUCU